rnacentral:rRNA from 1 species
UACGGGGGGGGUAAGCGUUGUUCGGAAUUACUGGGCGUAAAGGGCUCGUAGGCGGCCAACUAAGUCAUACGUGAAAUCCCUCAGCUUAACUGGGGAACUGCGUGUGAUACUGGAUGGCUUGGAUUUGGGAGAGGGAUGCGGAAUUCCAGGUGUAGCGGUGAAAUGCGCAGAUAUCAGGAAGAACACCGGUGGCGAAGGCGGGUCUCUGGGCCACUACUGACGCUGAGGAGCGAAAGCGUGGGGAGCGAACAGG